rnacentral:rRNA from 1 species
ACAGUCACACAUUAGAUACCCGGGUAGUCCCAGCCGUAAACGAUACUCGCUAGGUGUCGGCCACGGUGCGACCGUUGUCGGUGCCGUAGGGAAGCCGUGAAGCGAGCCACCUGGGAAGUACGGCCGCAAGGCUGAAACUUAAAGGAAUUGGCGGGGGAGCACAACAACGGGUGGAGCUUGCGGUUUAAUUGGAUUCAACGCCGGAAAUCUUACCGGGACCGACAGCAACAUGAAGGCCAAGCUGAAGACUUUGCCGGAUUAGCUG